UACGUAGGGGGCUAGCGUUGUCCGGAAUCAUUGGGCGUAAAGCGCGUGUAGGCGGUCCGGUAAGUCCGCUGUGAAAGUCGGGGGCUCAACCCUCGAAUGCCGGUGGAAACUGUCGGGCUAGAGUACGGAAGAGGCGAGUGGAAUUCCUGGUGUAGCGGUGAAAUGCGCAGAUAUCAGGAGGAACACCGGUGGCGAAGGCGGAUCUCUGGGCCAUUACUGACGCUGAGGAGCGAAAGCGUGGGGAGCGAACAGG
rnacentral:rRNA from 1 species